GACGAACGCUGGCGGCGUGCUUAACACAUGCAAGUCGAACGGAAAGGCCCUGCUUUUGUUGGGUGCUCGAGUGGCGAACGGGUGAGUAACACGUGAGUAACCUGCCCUUGACUUUGGGAUAACUUCAGGAAACUGGGGCUAAUACCGGAUAGGAGCUCCUGCUGCAUGGUGGGGGUUGGAAAGGUUCGGCGGUUGGGGAUGGACUCGCGGCUUAUCAGCGUGUUGGUGGGGUAGUGGCUUACCAAGGCUUUGACGGGUAGCCGGCCUGAGAGGGUGACCGGCCACAUUGGGACUGAGAUACGGCCCAGACUCCUACGGGAGGCAGCAGUGGGGAAUAAUGCACAAUGGGCGGAAGCCUGAUGCAGCAACGCCGCGUGGGGGAUGACGGCCUUCGGGUUGUAAACCGCUUUCGGCUGUGAUGAAGCGUGAGUGAAGGUAAUGGGUAAAGAAGCACCGGCUAACUACGUG
rnacentral:rRNA from 1 species